UUAAAAAAUAAAAAGGGGCUGUGGAUGUAGCAUGGUCUUAGAGCACCCUGGGUUUAAUCCCCAGUACCACCAAAAAAAAAAAAAAGUUAUUUCUAAGUGAAUAAAUCAUAUAUGUUGAAGUAAAGACUCAUAUCCCAGUAGGGCAGACAAACUUAUUUGUUGAAUUUUAAUAGUUUAAAAUACAAGCAAAGAUUUAUCAGAUUACAGAAAAUUAUGGUAUUUUAAAAAAGAUUUUAGCAUUAAAAAAUACCUGUAAUUUUUAAUAUUUUUAUCUGUUUAUGGGUGUUUUAUUUCUCUGGGACCCAUUAUAUGAAAUUGCUGGGUUGUAUAAAAAACUCAUUUUAACCAACUGUUUUCCAGAAUGGUGGCACCAUUUUACAUUUCAACCAACAAUGUAUGAGGAACCCAAUAUCUGCUCUGCAUAAUCUUGCCAGCAUUUGGUACUCUAUUUUUCAUUUUAGCUAUUCUUUUUGUUGUUUUUACCUUUGUCUUUCUACUAUGAUCUUUAACAAAGCUUAAGAAAACAAGGGUUGCCAAGCUCCCACAUGCCUCUGAUCCCAGCUACGCCAAGGUAGAAGACCAUGGCAAGUUCGAGACCAGCCCGAACCAUUUCAAAAUAAAAAAGGAAUUAAAAAAUGACUGGGAUUUAGCUCAGCAGUAAAGCACUUGUUUAGCAUGUGCAAGGCCCUGGAUAUUCCUAGUACCAGUGGGGGGGGGGGGAGAAAACAAGUUAUCUCAAAGUAUUCAGACAUAAACACUAUUAAAAUAGCAGGGCCUGGUGGCAUACACCUGAAAGGGCUAAGGAAAAUAUUAAAGAUCUUCCUUGUCCACGUGCCUGCCAGGACCUUCAAACAUCUUUGAUGGAACAUCUAAAGAAUGCUGACUUCCUAGGGGGCUUGGCUGGCUCACUCGGACACUCACUUACCUCAAGGCCACCACUCCCUCCCUUGGAAAUCUGGCCAGUACUAGUGGGGAUGAAGUGUCCUUGAGGGGAUGGGUAGUUGUUAGAAUGAAGUUUUCUUUGUUCUAAUUUGUAUUUAAGAAGCCCCACUGGGGUCUCACCACUGGAGAGGAUGCUCUGCUGGGGACUUCCUAGUCAGGAACCUGAAAAGCUGCCCAGGAACUCUCCUGUUCCAUGACUUCAGGUUGCCUGCUCUUGAAGACUGUUAAGAGGGACUGCAGCCAUGCAACCAAAACCCUCAACAAAGGCAUCUCCAAGUUCCCUGUGAUGGCUGCAGAUGCUGAAUCCCUAGAGAUCACCCUGGACAUCUUGCUAUUAUGAUGAAGACAAGAAUGUGCCCUGUAUGUUUGUGUGCUCCAAGUGGGCCCUAAGCAGACCUGUGAGGUCUCCAGGCUUGUCAUCGUGUGUUCUGUCACCAUCAAAGAAGUCUCUCAACUGAAGCUGCAGAUCCAGUCCAUUCAGCAGUCUAUUGAAAGUCUCUUAGUCUAAGCCUGCGGCUUCUGCCCUGCUCUCCCCACCAACCUCUCCAACCCCAGGUUUUGUAUCAUAUUGUCUAUCUUAGCAUGUAGUCAGUAGCUUUCUAUUAUAAAAUAUUGUACAAAAAGAAAGUUUACUUCUAAUGUGGACUAUAAUAUAAAACUUGUUGAAAUCAA